rnacentral:rRNA from 1 species
AUUGGACGCUGGCGGCAGGCCUAACACAUGCAAGUCGAACGGUAACAGGAAGAAGCUUGCUUCUUUGCUGACGAGUGGCGGACGGGUGAGUAAUGUCUGGGAAACUGCCUGAUGGAGGGGGAUAACUACUGGAAACGGUAGCUAAUACCGCAUAACGUCGCAAGACCAAAGAGGGGGACCUUCGGGCCCCUUGCCAUCGGGUGUGCCCAGAUGGGAUUAGCUAGUAGGUGGGGUAACGGCUCACCUAGACGACGAUCCCUAGCUGGUCUGAGAGGAUGACCAGCCACACUGGAACUGAGACACGGUCCAGACUCCUACGGGAGGCAGCAGUGGGGAAUAUUGCACAAUGGGCGCAAGCCUGAUGCAGCCAUGCCGCGUGUAUGAAGAAGGCCUUCGGGUUGUAAAGUACUUUCAGCGGGGAGGAAGGGAGUAAAGUUAAUACCUUUGCUCAUUGACGUUACCCGCAGAAGAAGCACCGGCUAACUCCGUG